rnacentral:rRNA from 1 species
GACGAACGCUGGCGGCGUGCCUAAUACAUGCAAGUCGAACGCUGAAGGAGGAGCUUGCUUCUCUGGAUGAGUUGCGAACGGGUGAGUAACGCGUAGGUAACCUGCCUGGUAGCGGGGGAUAACUAUUGGAAACGAUAGCUAAUACCGCAUAAUAGCAGUUGUUGCAUGACAACUGUUUGAAAGGUGCAAUUGCACCACUACCAGAUGGACCUGCGUUGUAUUAGCUAGUUGGUGGGGUAACGGCUCACCAAGGCGACGAUACAUAGCCGACCUGAGAGGGUGAUCGGCCACACUGGGACUGAGACACGGCCCAGACUCCUACGGGAGGCAGCAGUAGGGAAUCUUCGGCAAUGGACGGAAGUCUGACCGAGCAACGCCGCGUGAGUGAAGAAGGGUUUCGGAUCGUAAAGCUCUGUUGUAAGAGAAGAACGAGUGUGAGAGUGGAAAGUUCACACUGUGACGGUAUCUUACCAGAAAGAGACGGCUAACUACGUG